AGGUUUAUUAGCUGAAAUUCAGUUUUCUUCCAAUCCUUUGUUGUAGUUUGGAAGGGAGAGAGUCCCAGGUCGGCUCACUCCACCAUCUUGCUCCGCCCACCCCUCACCUGGGAGCUGAAUUUUGACCAAAAAAGCAGAUUGGGGGUGUGGGAAGGGUCAGGAAAUUCUGAUGAGAAUAUGGUGCAUUCUUGGUUUAACUACACUAAGGUGUAGGUGGCAAUGUAGUGUGAUGCCAGCUGGUCAUCCAUCAGGCAUACUCCACAUCUAAACUCUCAAGGCCUUUUAGAGGAUCCAUAGGUAACUGAAGUUGCUUUCCCUGAAACUGACGUACAGUUUUAAAACUUAGCUUCCAAAUUCUUUAUCACUUUGUCCUUUGAGAGGUGGAGUCUGUGUCCCUUCUCUUGAUGACUGACCAAUGGAACACAGCUGGGGUGAUGCUGGAGUAAUUCCAGGCCCCAGUCUGAUGAAGCUGGCAGUCUCCACUUCCUGACUCUUGAGACAGUUGCUCUUUGAUCUGAGUCCUGUUCACGAAGGUACCACUGGGCAAGGAGCUAAAGCCUGUGGCUCUCAGCACUGGCUGAGCUCCCAGUCAGCAGCACUAGCUGUGUGUUUGAGCCGUCUUGGAAGUGAGUCCUCCAGGCCCAAGUUGAGCUACCCUUGCUGAUGCCAGCAGAGCAGAGACAAGCCUCCAUGGCUGAGCCACCAUGAACCAAAGUCCCGGUUCCUCUUCAGGAGCCCUCAUGGUAGUCUGUGGGGCCGAAUGAGACACUCCUCUGCAAACUGGGGUGCUCCCCCAGGCCCUCAGGGUCCCUCAGCCAACGUGCAGGAGCUGUCCCCACCACUGAGAACAAGACCGGUGCUUCAUGGGACCUUCAGCAAGUAUAGUCAGGAACAGCUGUUCAUUUUGUACACUCAGUGCCCUCACUUCUGUUAAUAUCAUUCUCCCUCUCCUUUGGGAAACUGGUCUCCCCUGACUGAUGUGUUCUUGUGAAGCUGGUGAAACUGCCAAACACAAAACCCUACAGGUGGUGGCUGUGGAAAUUAGUGAAAGAAACCCCCAACUAACCUGGACUAGAGAAGGCCUGCACUAGGAGCUCUCACCCCCAUCACACAUGGUCAGUUACACCAAACAGUAAGAGAGAGAAGCUUGCAUCUCAGACUGGAAGUAAAGCUACUUUACCAUUGAAGGAAGACUUCUCUCCCCACCCAGCAGCAGCCCAGACAGUGAGAAAUGCUGCAGCUCAGCCAAUGAGAAAGGCUCCAGCUCAGCCAAUGAGAAAUGCUGCAGCUCAGCCAAUGAGAAAUGCUCCAGCUCAGUCAAUGAGAAAGGCUCCAGCUCAGCCGAUGAGAAACACUGCAGCUCAGCCAAUGAGAAAGGCUCCAGCUCAGCUGAUGAAAAACACUGCAGAUCAGCCUUUGAGGAGCUGUUGCUGCCCUGAACUGUUACUCUCCCACAGUGGGCUUUCCUUUAGAACAGCUCCUCACAGUUCCUGUUUUUCUUUAUAAAAGCUGCCCCAUUAUUUAUUUUCUGGAUUUGCCUAUGGUUCACCAUAGCAUGCACUUCCCAAAUUACAAUUCUUUUGGCUAUUCCUGAAUAAAUUUGUUUAGAGGAUAAAAUAACAGGGAAAUUUGCUUUCUUUUCUUUUUUUUUUUUUUU
ensembl:lncRNA